rnacentral:rRNA from 1 species
ACGAGUUCCGUGCCGCAGCAAACGCAUUAAGUGCCCCGCCUGGGGAGUACGGCCGCAAGGCUAAAACUCAAAGGAAUUGACGGGGGCCCGCACAAGCGGCGGAGCAUGCGGAUUAAUUCGAUGCAACGCGAAGAACCUUACCAAGGCUUGACAUACACCGGAAACUUCCAGAGAUGGUUGCCCCGCAAGGUCGGUGUACAGGUGGUGCAUGGUUGUCGUCAGCUCGUGUCGUGAGAUGUUGGGUUAAGUCCCGCAACGAGCGCAACCCUCGUCUUAUGUUGCCAGCACGUCAUGGUGGGGACUCAUAAGAGACUGCCGGGGUCAACUCGGAGGAAGGUGGGGAUGACGUCAAAUCAUCAUGCCCCUUAUGUCUUGGGCUUCACGCAUGCUACAAUGGCCGGUACAAAGGGCUGCGAUACCGCGAGGUGGAGCGAAUCCCAAAAAGCCGGUCUCAGUUCGGAUUGGGGUCUGCAACUCGACCCCAUGAAGUCGGAGUCGCUAGUAAUCGCAGAUCAGCAACGCUGCGGUGAAUACGUUCCCGGGCCUUGUACACACCGCCCGUCAAGUCACGAAAGUCGGUAACACCCGAAGCGGUGGCCCAACCCUUGUGGAGGGAGCUGUCGAA